CUAUAUUAGGUUUAUAGGGGAAAUGUAAUGUUUUAGACUAGUAUUCGGCUAUUAGCUCAAUAAUAACGAGAGUGCAUGACAGCUUUUGGUAUGUACUUUCACGUCGUAAUAUCAAAAUUAUUUUGUAUGGCCCUAUAAACGCUUAAACAUGCUUUGUCCACAUUCUCUUCUGAUAAAUCAACAUGCUUGGUUUGUGGUAACUGGUAAGUUAUUAAUACUACUUGAGAUAAGAUCACACUGUCCGUUGCCAAUUUUGGCUCACGGUUGGAGAUGAAAAAAUUGGUGAUAAAGAUGAUUUUUUUGUGAGAUCUAAUAAAAAAUUUGCAACAAUGAAAGGUAAAAAAAAAA
rnacentral:lncRNA from 1 species